rnacentral:rRNA from 1 species
GCCUACGGGGCGCAGCAGUGAGGAAUAUUGGUCAAUGGGCGAGAGCCUGAACCAGCCAAGUCGCGUGAAGGAUGACGGCCCUACGGGUUGUAAACUUCUUUUGUCAGGGAGCAAUUGAGUCCACGUGUGGUCUUAGCGAGAGUACCUGAAGAAAAAGCAUCGGCUAACUCCGUGCCAGCAGCCGCGGUAAUACGGAGGAUGCGAGCGUUAUCCGGAUUUAUUGGGUUUAAAGGGAGCGUAGGCCGGUCUUUAAGCGUGCCGUGAAAUUUUGUGGCUCAACCAUGAGAGGGCGGCGCGAACUGGAG